UACACCGGCCAAAUAUAUUAUUAUAACACUUAUGUAACUCUUACAUAACGCUUUCCGGUGUAUAACCCGCCCGGCAACGGCCAUUAUUUUCUUUACUCUAUUUUCUUCGCUCCACUAGACAACAUGCCUGAGUAAGAAAAUCAUAAAAUCACCGAGUGCGUCUCCGAGACGGCACUCAAUGGCACUUACAAAAAUGCGUCGAAAUUAUCCGGGUUAUACGACCAUGGAUUUGGAUACAAUUCAGGAAUGUGAUUCCAGUCCCAUUGAGAGUAUUAGAAACGUUGCUAAUGAAAUUUUUCUAACCUUAGAAGAGAAAAACUACUUCUACUAUAAUGUGCCAGAACCAGCAGAAACAUAAACAACCCAGCCAAAAGUCUAAAAUGAAAACCAUAUAAUUUCCCUCCAUGGAACACAACAUUCAAUGUUAACCUUACUCUUACAGAAUUCAAAAAAGAAAACACAAUACCUUCCAUAUAUAAAAGCAUGCUCAAAAACCUAUUACAGGAGCAUCUAAACAGCGUGUACAUAAUAUAUACUAACGCCUCCAAAAUUAACGAAGGAGUCGGCCUCGCAAUAACAAUAAAAAUCAAACAAUAUUGUACAAACGUUCACCUCAAGCCUCAAUACUUACAGCAGAAGCGAUGGCAGUAUACAUAACAGUAAAAUAUAUCCACACAAAAUACGCAAACCACCAAACAAAAUGUAUAAUACUCAGUGACUCACUCUUUAACCUAAUCGCCAUAACAAAUACACAUAACCAACCAGAUAUCAUAAAGCUCAUCCUAGAAGAAAGUUUCCUUGCAGAAAAAUAAAAUAAACAUAUCCAUUUUGUAUGAAUUCCGGAACACAUAAGCAUUCCCAAAAAUAAAAUGGUUGAUCGAGAAGCUCAAAAUGCAAUAGUCUCUACAUCAACUGCAACCAUAAAUUCUAUUACAGUCACAGACGCAAAGAACGAAAUUAAUCUACACUAAAAUAAUAAAUGGCACUCUCACUGGUGUAAACUUAACAUAAAACUCAAUAAAAUAAAAAAUAAUAUAAACACGUGGAAAAAUCCCAAACUCAAAAGAAAAUAAUAAACCGACUCUGAAUUGGACACAUACACCUAACGCACAGCUACUUAAUGAGCAAAGACAAACCUCCACUAUGUGACUCGUGGAGCGUUCAUUUAACCAUCAACCACAUCAUCACCGAAGGUAACAAAUACAACUAGUAUCGAAACCAAUUACACAUAUCCAAACAAAUCUGUCAAGCACUUGGACCAAACACACAGGACGAAAAAAACUUAAUGUUAUUCUUAAAAAAAAAAACAGAAUUGUAUAAUUUGAUUUAAUAUUAAAAAAAAGAAAUGUAAAUACUAACAAAGUAACUUUACAAAAAUUCUUAUAUUAAUGGCAUAGUUGUCGAUGUAUCUUAGACCAAUAAAAAAAAAAAAAGAAUUAUAAUUCUGAACCAAGUAA